AGAAUCAACGCUGGCGGCGUGCCUAACACAUGCAAGUCGAUCGAGAAAGUGGAGCAAUCCAUGAGUAAAGAGGCGCACGGGUGGGUAACACGUGACUAACCUACCCUCGAGUGGGGAAUAACCUGGGGAAACCUGGGCUAAUACCGCAUAAUACCUUCGGGUCAAAGGAGCAAUUCGCUUAAGGAGGGGGUCGCGGCCGAUUAGUUAGUUGGCGGGGUAAUGGCCCACCAAGACUGUGAUCGGUAU
rnacentral:rRNA from 1 species